UUUUCUCUUUCUCUAACCGGUCGAGGGUCGGGGGACAAGGGUGUGCGUUCGGAGUAGAGAGAGGAGAGAGCACUCGGAGAGAGGGGGCGCUGAGGAGCGGCGGCGGCGGUGAGUGCGGCCGGCUAAGGCUGCUAAGAGCUGCUGCCCACCGUCUGACUACCGGAGGAGAGCGAGACUAGGAAGGAGAGUAGGGAGAUCUAGGCCGGAGAGCGCGAGCGACGGCUGGGAGUCGGUACCGAUCCCAAAGCCCGCGCCGCAGGGGAAGCAGCGGCCGCUCCGAGAUCGCCGGAUGCCACCGACCAGGGCGGGUGCACACCGAGACAGAGUACCUGCAAGGAGGGCGCGGGCUGCCGGUGCCCACCAGUACCACUGCCGGAGAAAUCGCCGCAGUGGCCUGAUCGAGGUGCGUGCCCCUUCCGUAGAGACGGCCAAGGGGUUCCACUCACGCUCCGGCUUCUCUCUGCUGUAGCUCCUGCUGUAGGAUCCUGUAGUAGUGCGAGUUGCCGAAGCGGGGGUAGUAGUAGCUCAAGAAGCCAAUGCGCCGUUUGUCCACACGCUGGUUGGCCGUUGGUCGCCGCGGUAGAGAUAGGGGGCUGUGACCUAUUACCGUACCGAUUACCGGAUGCGCGCCACGCGGGCAGUCACGGGCACGAGGGUCCGGCCACGCCGGCAGUGUCGACGAACGAGUUCCGUCGCACGACUGACGGACCAAGUACUGGAACUAAAAAUUAUCUCUAUAUCAUCUUAGCCUAUAUCACGCUCUUCGGUUACCAUAACGUUACUCUAGAGUAUUAUAGUCAGAUAGGGUACUCCUUUCCCUCUUCCGUAAUAGGUAAUCAUCUAGUGAUCAUUUACAAUCUUGACGGUGUAACUUAUUAUCGUUAUCACGACCACUUGCAUAUUUCCUAGUUUAUCACGUUUGUGACUGACUUCGACCACCAGUCCAACUAAUACAACUCCAUUCUAACUUCGGAAAAAAAUAAGUUCACGGGAAUGACAAAAGAUAUUUCUUUAAAUAAAUAAGUAACUCAAACAAUUAUAUAGAAAUUAAAUAAAUGACAGGACGACAUUAUAACUACAACCGAUACAGGAUCUCUUGGAAACUUUAGAUGUAAACAUCGAUAUCAAACCGUUCUCGUCAAACUAAUCGUCGGAUCUUGGUGACUAGCGAGUACCACACACUCUACUUAACUUAAACAACGAAUGAGACCCUCCGAGUGGCACCACAAGCCCGACGAACGGUACGGUUGGCCUCGCGGGUAUGUGCACAAGUUCUUGGAGGCCACACGCCGCUGACGGUACGGCGUUAGUUCUACCAGCGGUUCCGCAUGUUGUCUCUCUACUAUGCCGGUACGGUACUUCCAACGUCUCGUAUUAACUACGUGAACAACGGCCUCAACCGCAGGAAUAAAAGAGUUCGUUCGCAUCCAGGUCACCGUACCCUCGUUGUAACAACUUCCCGGUUCCGAAGUAUCAAACAUGCGUGUAGUUUCUCUUUGAACCUUACAAAAACACGAGCCUAGAGCAAGCCUUCAUGAUGUAGUACGUUAAGGGUUACCGCAGUGGGCUGCUCGAGGUGCGCGUCUCCUCCGCAGAGGUGUCCAAGGGGCUCCUUGUUGUUCUAUGUAAACUUAAGCAACGGCUACUCAAUAGUUAAGAAGCUUUCUCUGAUGCUAGGUACCACCAACAACUCCAAUCAUUAAUCACGUACGAUGAGUAUAGUUGUGAGACCACGAUACGACGACUACCGUACAACAAACCUACAAAGAAAAUUCUGAAAAAAACUGUUUAUGUUUAACUAAUAAUUCUUUAUAUGAUUAAGACACACUUCGAGGUGUUGUAUUUAAACGUUACACAUCUAUCUUCUACUUUAGUAUUCGUCGUUACGUUGUAUCCUAUCAAAUGGACAUCUAACUCCACAGAGGCCUGUCUAUACUCCUUCAAUAAAUAGAAGGUGACUCUUUCUUGUCUAAAAACACUCAAAGGUGAGUUUUUUCGAUAGAUCUUAUCCUAAUCGUAGAAAAUUAGGACAACUCAGCCACAUAACUAUGACAAGUAUUAGUACCGUGUGAACAUGACAAACGUCUUUAGGAGUGAAACCUUGGCUUUUAGCUUGAGCCACGGGUCCGAGUAGACGAGGGCGAAUCUUUUUUUUAGUUUUCUUUAUGAUCCUUUUAAGUUUUUUUAGGUUAAAAAAACCCACCAUCUAUUAAACUACGCACUCCAGGCAAGAUUUAAAGUUGAUUAAACCUGUAGACUGUUCGAGAGGCGUUUUUUAUGUUUAGCCCAGUUUUGUCACGCACUUGUCAUUCGUAAAAAUGUAUGGGGUUAAAACACAAAAAACGGUCCUCGACGAGUCUACAGAUUUACUCAACUUUAAACCUCGCCUGGAGUGCGUAGUUUAAUAGAUGGUGGGUUUUUUUUGAACCUUAAAAAACUUAAAAAGAUCGUAAACAAAACUAAAGAAAAGACUCGCCCUCGUCUACUCGGACCCGUGGCUCAAACUAAAAGUGAGGCGCAGGGAAACCUUGAACUAUUUUCUACAUUUUGGAAGCCUAGAUUCACAUCAGGUCUCUCUACAGGGAGGACUUUGACAGUUACACUACUUUUCCUGACAAAGUCCGUAUAACCCAGACGAAGGCAGACUAUUCACUCUCCCGCUGGGGACCGAGCCAUGAAUAAAUAAAACCAAUAAUGGUGUCCGUACAUUUCGUGGGGUUGGCAAUCUGUAAAUUAAGGUAGUGUUUAUCAUUCUAGGUGUGCCUAUUAUAGAGUUGAGUCAAUAAGUCACUUAACGAAAUUCUAAUUUAACACGGAGUGGUUAUAAAGAUACUCAGAUGAUAAAUAUGCGAGUAUGUGUCUUAUUAGCGUUUUCUAACACCGUAUUAAAACCACGUUUGUUCAUGGAACUAGUUGAACCUUACCGUAGCUUCAUGUUGUGUUUUCACAAGACGUACGUCUGAGAGUAGCCUCCGUUGAUGCCAAACGAACUGUGCUUCUGUAAGAAUGGUUAGGACUAAUGAGUCACGAGACGAUACCGUAGCCGAAUACCCUUUACCUCAAGAGAGUCAACUAUAUUUACGCGGCGCAUUCGACACACGAAUACGAGUGAAGUCGUUCGCUGUGUGUCCACAGUACGAGGAGGACAAGUUGGAUUCGCUGUCGUGACCCAUGUUGCACUGGGAGAUCUUACUGGAGUUCAGGAGUUGGACUUGAAGUUUUUUUCUUCGCCGGUGAUCUCCGCGUCGCCGCCGGAGUCUUCUCGCCACAGUACCGACCCUUCGUUCGGCAGCUCGCUCUCGUGCUUCUCCUUACUCAUGGUAGAUUUGUGGUUCCCGCCGCUGGUGGUCUCAUCCUGCUACGACGACUUGCCACACGUCAACCUCGACCGUCCGCUACCGACGUAGGGCUAGGACUUGGAGCACAGCAGGCGGCACCUAAGCUAGCACGUGGACCGGGGCUGCAGUUAACACAAACACCAGGAUGGCUACAAGCUCCGGUUCCGGACAAGAACUCCCUUCUUCCAACAAAACAAGCAAAACACCACAUCUCUAUCUUAGUAUCUGUACUCCUUUUAUCCGUCUUCCUGUAGUGUUCCCGUAAAAAUGAAUAGGACUUAGAAGAAGGGGCAACUCUCGUAGGACUGAAGUUUGAUUUGUUUUCCCUUUUACAGAGUACCGGCUUGUUGUCUAAUAUCAUGUUCAUCCUUCCACUUUCCCCG
rnacentral:rRNA from 1 species